UUGGUGCCUUCGGGAACUCUGACACAGGUGCUGCAUGGCUGUCGUCAGCUCGUGUCGUGAGAUGUUGGGUUAAGUCCGUAACGAGCGCAACCCUUGUCCUUAGUUACCAGCACGUUAUGGUGGGCGACUCUAAGGAGACUGCCGGUGACAAACCGGAGGAAGGUGGGGAUGACGUCAGGUCAUCAUGGCCCUUACGGCCUGGGCUACACACGUGCUACAAUGGUCGGUACAAAGGGUUGGCCAAGCCGCGAGGUGGAGCUAAUCCCAUAAAACCGAUCGUAGUCCGGAUCGCAGUCUGCAACUCGACUGCGUGAAGUCGGAAUCGCUAGUAAUCGUGAAUCAGAAUGUCACGGUGAAUACGUUCCCGGGCCUU
rnacentral:rRNA from 1 species